AGCGAACGCUGGCGGCAGGCUUAACACAUGCAAGUCGAACGGUCCUUCGGGAUAGUGUCGGACGGGUGAGUAACACGUGGGAACGUACCCUUAGGUUCGGAACAACACAGGGAAACUUGUGCUAAUACCGGAUAAGGCCUUCGGGGGAAAGAUUUAUCGCCUUUGGAGCGGCUCGCGUCUGAUUAGCUUGUUGGUGAGGUAAUGGCUCACCAAGGCUACGAUCAGUAGCUGGUCUGAGAGGAUGGCCAGCCACACUGGGACUGAGACACGGCCCAGACUCCUACGGGAGGCAGCAGUGGGGAAUCUUGCGCAAUGGGCGAAAGCCUGACGCAGCCAUGCCGCGUGGAUGAUGAAGGUCUUAGGAUUGUAAAAUCCUUUCACCGGGGACGAUAAUGACGGUACCCGGAGAAGAAGCCCCGGCUAACUUCGUGCCAGCCGCCGCCGUAA
rnacentral:rRNA from 1 species